GGUGAACGCUGGCGGUAGGCCUAACACAUGCAAGUCGAACGGCAGCACAGUAAGAGCUUGCUCUUACGGGUGGCGAGUGGCGGACGGGUGAGGAAUACAUCGGAAUCUACUUUUUCGUGGGGGAUAACGUAGGGAAACUUACGCUAAUACCGCAUACGACCUACGGGUGAAAGCAGGGGAUCUUCGGACCUUGCGCGAUUGAAUGAGCCGAUGUCGGAUUAGCUAGUUGGCGGGGUAAAGGCCCACCAAGGCGAGGAUCCGUAGCUGGUCUGAGAGGGUGAUCAGCCACACUGGAACUGGGACACGGUCCAGACUCCUACGAGAGGCAGCAGUGGGGAAUAUUGGACAAUGGGCGCAAGCCUGAUCCAGCCAUACCGCGUGGGUGAAGAAGGCCUUCGGGUUGUAAAGCCCUUUUGUUGGGAAAGAAAAGCAGCAGGUUAAUACCCCGCUGUUCUGACGGUACCCAAAGAAUAAGCACCGGCUAACUUCGUG
rnacentral:rRNA from 1 species